ACCCCACCCCUUCUUCUUCUUCUUCCUCUUCUUCUUCAUUCCUUCCUUCCUUCCUCUUGCUGGUUGCUGGUUGCUGCUUCACUCACCACCACACCGCCGCCCCACACCCUACUCACCACCACCUCUUGGCCACCGAACCACCACCACCCACCGCUCGUCCGACGAGCCGUCUCGCCGUUGAGCCCGACGAGCUGUCGCGCGGCCCCUCGCCGCCAUGAGCCACCGCCGCCGUCCCUAAGCCACCGUCACCACCUCUUGCUGCUGCUCGCUUGGCCGUUUGGGUCGUGAUUGCUCCGAACCGCCACCGCCGACGUGGUUGAGGCAUCGGAUCAUCCUCAAGAUGAAAGCGAUUGGGAAGACGGGGAUCCUGAUGGAGACAUUAUUUAUGUGGAGUAGGUCUAACUGCUGCAGAGCAAUAGCACUAUGUUGCUAGACUGGGCAUACUGCUGCUUAACCGGUUUAGGGCGGUAACAAUAAACCGCUCUUGUGCAGGAAAGGAGGUUUCAUAACAUCAUAUGGACUUGAAAUAUAUCCUGCCGAUCUUUGAUGCAAUCCUCAUAGUUUUGUCCUUGCAUUUGCCAACCGCACGCCAUGGCAGCUAUAUUGAGCUUGUACUUUGUGUAUCUGAGCAUGUUGCCGUAACUUUUUGCAAGGAGCGCAUAGCAACGACGUGGCACCUACUUCUUACCCACUCAAA